rnacentral:piRNA from 1 species
UACUCUCAGUGUCUGCCCACACACGCC